AGGACGAACGCUGGCGGCGUGCUUAACACAUGCAAGUCGAGCGGUAAGGCCUUUCGGGGUACACGAGCGGCGAACGGGUGAGUAACACGUGGGUGAUCUGCCCUGCACUCUGGGAUAAGCCUGGGAAACUGGGUCUAAUACCGGAUAUGACCUGCUCUCGCAUGGGGGGUGGGUGGAAAGAUUUAUCGGUGCAGGAUGGGCCCGCGGCCUAUCAGCUUGUUGGUGGGGUAAUGGCCUACCAAGGCGACGACGGGUAGCCGACCUGAGAGGGUGACCGGCCACACUGGGACUGAGACACGGCCCAGACUCCUACGGGAGGCAGCAGUGGGGAAUAUUGCACAAUGGGCGAAAGCCUGAUGCAGUGACGCCGCGUGAGGAUGAAGGCCUUCGGGUUGUAAACCUCUUCAGCAGGACGAAGCGCAAGUGACGGUACCUGCAGAAGAAGACACCGGCUAACUACGUGACCAGCAGCCGC
rnacentral:rRNA from 1 species